UACAGAGGUCUCAAGCGUUGUUCGGAUUCAUUGGGCGUAAAGGGUGUGUAGGUGGCGCCGUAAGUCGGGUGUGAAAUUUCGGAGCUUAACUCCGAAACUGCAUUCGAUACUGCGGUGCUUGAGGACUGGAGAGGAGACUGGAAUUCAUGGUGUAGCAGUGAAAUGCGUAGAGAUCAUGAGGAAGACCGGUGGCGAAGGCGGCAUCCUGGACCGACACUGACGCUGAUGAGCGAAAGCCAGGGGAGCAAACGGG
rnacentral:rRNA from 1 species